AUUUCACGUAGCUAUUGCAACCGGCUCCAGGUGAACAACAGAGAAAGAAGAAAAAACAAGAGGUGAAACUUGAGCGCAAGAUGAAGCUCUGUAGGUGUAGGAGUGAGCACUGCUGGUGCAGCCUUUGUGAAGACCCCUGUUCUGUGGAGAUGGCAGCAACAGCUCAAGAACUGAGCAGUAAAUUUCCUUCCCUGUUUAUGAGGUGAUGUGCCAAGCCAGCAUGCUGCACCUGGACGUGUGGACCCCGGGGAGUGGGACGUUCCUCUCGCCUGACCCGGCUCGGUCGCCUGGACCCCUGGGCCUGAUGCGCCAUCGUAAGGCAUGCAUGCCGUGUGCUGUGCACGUGUGUCCGCCGUCCCGAGCUGGGCAGCCAGGGUAAAACCACUCCGCCGACUACA